AUUGAACGCUGGCGGCAGGCCUAACACAUGCAAGUCGAACGAGUGGCGGACGGGUGAGUAAUGUCUGGGAAACUGCCCGAUGGAGGGGGAUAACUACUGGAAACGGUAGCUAAUACCGCAUACCAUCGGAUGUGCCCAGAUGGGAUUAGCUAGUAGGUGGGGUAAUGGCUCACCUAGGCGACGAUCCCUAUCUGGUCUGAGAGGAUGACCAGCCCCACUGGAAAGGAGGCACGGUCCAGACUCCUACGAGAGGCAGUCGUGGGGAAUGUUGCACAAUGGGCUCAAGCCUGAGGCAGCCAUGCCGCGUGUCUGACGAAGGCCUUCAGGUUGUAAAGUACUUUCAGCGAGGAGGCGUUACUCGCAGGAGAAGGACCGGCUAACUCCGUGCCAGCCGCCGCGGUAAUAC
rnacentral:rRNA from 1 species